CCGGGGAUGUUUGCUUCCGGGUUCUAUAUAUAUAUAUAUAUAUCUCAACAGCCUUAGGACAGAUAUGGGGAAAGCGCCUCUGGGUGUGAGAGAAACACUGAGCUCUCCACAGCAGCCUGGCUUGGCAUCCUCCGAGCCUUUUCCUUAAACCGUGAGGAGUUUCUCUAAAAGCAGCUCGUUGGGACCCAGCAGGUACCCAGAAAUGGCUCCAGUGCCUGCUUCUAAGGAUAAUCUGAGGGAGCUUCACAGGGGGAAGAUAAAGGCCAUGAUGAUGGAUAUUUUGGAUUGCAAACAAAAUGGCGACAUUUUCCACUUCUGCCUCUGAAAGAUACAAUCCAGGGAGAAUAGGGAUUUGUUUCUCACAUCCGAUGCUCCUGAUCCCCAGACGAAAGCAGUUCCUCGCUUCUAGCUCUGAAGGGGGUGAUGAUGGGGAUGCAGGUCUGAGGUUUGCAUUUUCUGAAUUCGAUUCCUUUCUCGAGGAAUCCUUAAAUCUGAAGAUGAAAAUAUUUCCCUUUACUGUGCCUUCUUUUGCCUCUACUAGCCAGUCAGUAAGCAGCCCUAUCUUAAAUCCAGGAGUGGAAAUGUAAUAUUUAGCUCCUACAACAUCAAAUGAAAAAAGUAUUUAUAAAAUUGCAGUUUUAUUACAAAGAUACCGAUCUCCUUGCUCUCUCCCCCUCCCCCUGGGGCCAUAAAAAGAAAGCUGGGUGGGGGAAGGAGAGGAAAUAAAUUCAGAGAAUGCCAAAUACUACAUUCAGCAGGAAGCUAAUGCUGGGAUUCAGGCAGGGACUCUCCCCAGUUCAGUCCUCCGUUUGCUGGAGACCUGGGUGAGCCUCAGUCCCUUUCAAACUGUUUCGCUCCGCGUGCAGAUUUUUGGAGCAAUUCUUUCCUCCUGAUGCGAUGAUAGACCGCGAAGCAUCCCCAGAGGAGACCAGGAGUCUGAUUGCUCCCGGAAAGUGCUCGGCAUCCUCUGCGCGGCUGGCUAAUACCGAGGUUUAGGCGUUAGUUGGUCCGCUUUGACCCGAGGAAGAGCGUGGAGCAGAAGACCGCCCUGCGUUAUCCCCCGGCUGGGCCGCGGGGCACCUGUGCGCUCCCGCUGCGCCUUGGGCCGGGCUGUCUUUGUUUCUUGCGUGCACAGCACUCGGCAGCCCCUGCGCCCUCAGCCUGCCUCCGCAGCAGCUGGGAACCGGGCAGCCCAGCUGGCCCGCCGCACGGCGUUACCAGAGCUGCCGCAGCCGCCUGGAGCCCCAGCCGCCAUCCUGAGAAUUCGCCGAGCUUCCAGGCGAAUAGCCUGGCCAGGCCCCAUGCUGGAGCCCGAGGGCUGCUGCGUCCGGCCUGCUCUGCCGGCUCGCCUCGGCCUGAAUUCCACGCAGACCCACGUCUUCGGCCAAAGAACCCCUUCUUAACACGGAUAUUAUUCAGAAUAAAAACUUUAUUUCUUUUUCUCAGAAUGUGAGCAGCAAGGAAUGUAGAACUCUCAAAACAAAUCUAGUAUUUUUCGCGUUUACAGAUUUUUUUUUUCAGUUUUGCCGGAUGUUACAAACCUAAAUCACUGUUUUCAAAAGCUGGAUCUUCUCUGGUUUUAUUGCAUCAUUACCGUUUAAAGGAAUUAUAUUUCUCUUUCAAAUAAAAAAAAUUCUAAGUACGCCAAUAC
rnacentral:lncRNA from 1 species